rnacentral:rRNA from 1 species
UACGUAGGGUGCGAGCGUUAAUCGGAAUUACUGGGCGUAAAGCGUGCGCAGGCGGUUUUGUAAGCCAGAUGUGAAAUCCCCGGGCUUAACCUGGGAAUGGCAUUUGGGACUGCAAGGCUUGAGUGCGGCAGAGGAGACUGGAAUUCCUGGUGUAGCAGUGAAAUGCGUAGAUAUCAGGAGGAACACCGAUGGCGAAGGCAGGUCUCUGGGCUGACACUGACGCUCAUGCACGAAAGCGUGGGGAGCAAACAGGAUUACGAA